rnacentral:rRNA from 1 species
AAUGAUGAAGUAGCAAUGAAACAUCUUCUGCUGAUGUUGGAAGGGUCGGCCCGAGCGUGGUUGACUCAGUUAGCUCUGAGCAGUAUAUACAGUUGGGAAGAGCUAGCUCGAGUGUUCGUUAGAACUUUUGAAGGCACUUGUAAACGACCAACAGGAUUGACCGAGUUGCAGCAUUGUGUGCAGAAGCCGAGUGAGACUUUGAGAGAUUUCAUUCAGAGGUGGACCACUUUGCACCACACUGUUGAAAAUGUAUCAGAGCAUCAAGCAGUGUGCUCUUUCAAGGAAGGCGUCAAGUACCGAGAGUUGGUCCUGAAGUUCGGUCGGACUGGUGAUAUGACUUUGACUUUGAUGAUGGAAAUAGCCACCCGGUACGCUAAUGGGGAAGAAGAGGAUCGACUCCGUAGCGGAAAGAGUAAG